CCACGGGUGAGUAACACGUAUGCAACCUGCCUGCCACAGCCGGAUAAUCGGGAGAAAUUCCGUCUAAUACGGCAUAAUGCAUCGACGGGACAUCCUGUUGGUGCCAAAGGUUAAUUCCGGUGGCGGAUGGGCAUGCGUCGCAUUAGUUAGUUGGCGGUGUAACGGACCACCAAGACGACGAUGCGUAGGGGUUCUGAGAGGAAGGUCCCCCACACUGGUACUGAGACACGGACCAGACUCCUACGGGAGGCAGCAG
rnacentral:rRNA from 1 species